rfam:Stegodyphus mimosarum contig86091, whole genome shotgun sequence.
GCCUUCGUGGUGUAGUGGUCUGCAUGCUCAACGCGUAACCGGGAGGUCCGUGGUUCGAUUCCCGGCGAAGGCG